UUAAGGUUUCAUGGCAUGUUAUUUUUAUGUAAACAAUAACAAUGACUAAUCUAUAUAAAGCUGUCAGCACAAGUUGUGCUGCCUUGCAUGAGGUCUGCUGCCAGGCCAGAAAAAGUUCUUGGGACGCUUUCUUGGUGUUCAGCUGGUCUGAAGCACAGGCAGUUUCUUUGCUCAGUGAAGCACAAGAAGGAAUCUGACAAGCCUUUGGCAAAGUCUAAGAAGAUUCCCAUGGGUAUUUGUGAAGCAGCAAGAUGAAAUUCUUCUAGGCCAGAGAAGAUCAGAUGGAUGGGUUACAUCCUUCAGGAAGGAGACGAUGUAGAAACCUUUGUAUGUGGCCUGGACUGGUGUAAGGGGAUUGCAAGGCAGCAGCAUACAGAUAUCCACCUGUGCAGUCUAUCCUGCUGGAUUGAAUGAGGCUACUUACAAGCAUAAAUAAAAGGUGUAGGACUCUGCACUUGCUCUUGUUGAAGCUCAUCAGUUUCCUCUCUGCCCAACUCUCCAGUCUGUCCAGGACUCACUGAUUGGCAACACAGCCACUCCUCCAGUUAUGUAUUGUCAAGAAACUUACUGAGGUGCACUCUGUCCCUUCAUUCAUGUCAGUGAUGAAGAUGUUGAGGUAGGUUUUAAUCCUGGAAAACUGCUGUAAGGAAAAUAAGGGAUUUAAGUACAUAAGGCAGUAGU